rnacentral:sRNA from 1 species
AAGAAGAAGAACAAGAAGAAGAUCA